rnacentral:rRNA from 1 species
AUGUUAGCUCGGCCUGGCAAGAUGCAGGAGGAUUUUGAGGCUGAACGGGAGGAUUUGCCAGGUUGGGGGCAUUGGGCUAUGCCACAAGCCCCUCGCCCUGACAUGGAGAUGCGCCCUGGAGAAUUUAUGCAACUUGAUGAUUUAAUGGAAUCAAUACCAGAAGAUCGUAACCCGGUACUCAUGGAGAACAUGCCAGUUGAAGAUGCCAACAGUAACAUUACAUUGUCUCUGGCCCCCUCACACAACUCUGCACCUUUAGCUGAAUCUGCCAAUGGGCCACCUGCUCAGCCUGUGUUACAAGUACUUGACCUGAAUGAUAUCAAUGGGCCCCCUUUGCCAGUACAACCACUGGAUGUGAAUGCUUUGGAGCCCCUAUUGGAACAAGCAAAAAUGAUAUCUCAACCUAAUCUGAUUCUGACACCUGAUUUCAACCUAGAGGCCAUUAUGAAACAUUCAGCUGUUGAUCCCAUGCAACUAGAAGCACUCACUCCUAUCAGACAGAACUCUGCUUCACCCACUGUCAUCAAGAAAUGUCCAGAUAGGGAGAAACACGUUACAAUGGAUGUCACCACCAAAAAUAUCAUCCUGGUUCCUCAGGCUACACCCAACCCUCCUGCACCCACCAAAGAGUUGAAUACUACUGCAAUCUCAGAAGCAGCUGCUGACACUCCUCAAGAAGAAACAUAUGUUAUCUUGCUUGGUCAAGAAGGGGCUGACAUAUGGCAAAAGCACUUUGCUCCAUCUAAAGAUAGUAAAGAGGAGAACCACUCUUCCACUCCAUUUGGAAGCAUAAUGGGAGCUAAGGAGGGACAGUCUGCUUCAUCAACCUCUGCAAUUCAUGGCAGCAGGAAGAGGAAAGGAAAAACCCCUCUUGUAGAAACUGAGGUGAACAUCCAAGAGAAAAGGGGAAUGCAGCAAAAAGAUAAAGGAAAGAAACUGAAAGGAGCUUCUACUGUUUCUGCUCCCACAGCCAGUAGGCAGGCUAAAAGCAACACCAAGAGCACUUAG